AUACUUGUUUCCUUCAAAUGACUAAGGAAAUUAAGGUAAGAGGAGAGAGAAAGAGUUUAAAAAGACAAAGCAAUGCCCUUUGAGAAUUUAAAUUAGUUCAUGCACUUCUAAAUCAAUCCAUACUUUCACAAGUAAAAUUUCUUUUGAUCUUUUGUUUUGACAAGCACAUAACAAAAAUCAAACCCAAAUUAGACAAUCAAAAGCAAAUGGUGGGCUCAGCUUCCAUGUAUUGCGCAUUCGAAGAUAGAAGAGCAAAUAUUCAUAAUUUCUUACUCAUCCAAAACCCAGUUGAAUUCUAAGAUGGAAAAUAUGGAGAAGAAGAAAUUUGACAGCUUGAAGACCAAGAGGAAUGGAUCCUUUGUGAACAAAUGAAGUAAAGAUUCUUGAAAUCUGACACGAAAACUGUAUAUUAUUGUUGCCUAUCAAAUUUUGCGAGAACAAGAGGUUUGGGUUGUUGUGGCGGAGGUUGUGGUGGUUCUAGGAUGGAGACUUGGGCUUGAUAUAGGUUGAGAUUAUGAAUGGGUGUUGAUGGAUUGAGUUUUUUCGAUCUGGGGUUCCAUGGGCGUUGGAGGCAAAAGGAAGGAGCGAGAGAGAAAGGAAGGAAUUUUUUUUUUUCCUAUUUGAUGGUUGCUGCAUGAGAUUUUUGCAAUCUGGUUUCCAUGGCAUUGGAGUUGAAAGAGCCAUCUACGACUCUCUUUCUUUCCUUUUUGUUGAUUUUAAUUUUUUAAUUUUUUUUUGUUUAUUCUCUUUUGCGAUCUAGUUUCCGUUUUUUUUUUUUGUUUAUUUUCUUUCAUGUUUUGUGUUGAGAUUUUUUUAUUAUUAUUUUCAUAGGUGUGUCGUGUGUGAAGUUGAAAGAGCAAUGACAAGCUCUUUUUUUCUUUUACUUUUUAUUUAUUUUAAUUUGCUAAUUAUUGUUAAUCAAAUGUCCAGAAACUAAUAGCAAUUUUAUUUAUAAUCAAGGGUUAGUAUAGUCAUUUCCUUAGUCAUCCAAUGAAAAUUGGGAUGAUUUUGGAUGGAGGGAGGUGAUUACGUGACGGAAUAUUAAUUUAGAUAGACUUGAGUUAGUGUCCAAAUGUUGAAGGUCGCAUGUAUUUUUUUCACUAUUGUAACACCCCUUCCCGGUCCACCCGUAAACCCGAAUGAACCGAACCGAGAUGUUACAAACUGGUUGACUGUAUGGCCUGAC
rnacentral:lncRNA from 1 species